UUUUGUAUGUUUGUUUGGUUCUGUCCUGUGAUUGUAUUGUCUAUUUGUCUGAAAAAUUGAAAAUGUACAAUAAAUAUGAAAAAAAAAAGAAAAAAAAAAGACAACCUUUUUUUUCCAUCAUCACAGCAUGUCACAUCUGACGAACAUGUUUGCAUCAAACAGCUUUACUCAGAUCUGUUACCCAGAUUUCAGCUGGCCCUGAAGAAGUCUUUAGUAUUGGAACAUGUGGAUGCACAUGUCUUUCCCAGUCACGUCGGUGCAGAGUGGAGAUGUGGCUUUUGGCGGUGAUUCAAACCUUUGGUAUAUGCAGUUGACGUUGUCACUUUGCGUAUUAUAAUUUAUUGCACAAUCAACUUGUAUCAACUGCUUCGUAUUCACAUGCCACAAUCAUUAUACUCUACAGUAUAUGCUCUAUGUAUAACAAUGCUGUGGUGCCAGAAAUGAGUAGCAUUGGCCACAUGUCUCCAUGAAAGUUGUAGGUCAAGUUCUUCCCUCCGAUUGAGAAUGGACACCAGCCGGGUGGGAACAAUGAGCCCAAGCGGUCACCACCACGUUCUUUCUGGGAAUAAUUGUCAAAGGAGCGUGUGAGGAGUUCUUAAACGAACAGAAGAUUUAGUGUCAGUUUAUUUCUGAGGAUUAAAGCACCUCCUUCUGUCCUCCCAUCCCCCCUCAAGCACACUUUCAGACCGUGUCCGCUGAACUGUUGCAUUCAAGAGGACUGAAGUGGCUUCUAUUGCAUGCAUGGAAAAAUCACUUCCAGGGAUUUCCGCCGCUUGCUCAGACCGAAGCGCCCGUGCCUUCAGAUCACUUGGACGUGGCUGUAGUUGCACG